rnacentral:rRNA from 1 species
UACACAUGCAGUCGAACGGCAGCACGGGGGCAACCCUGGUGGCGAGUGGCGAACGGGUGAGUAAUACAUCGGAACGUGUCCUGUAGUGGGGGAUAGCCCGGCGAAAGCCGGAUUAAUACCGCAUACGAUCUACGGAAGAAAGCGGGGGACCGAAAGGCCUCGCGCUAUAGGGGCGGCCGAUGGCAGAUUAGCUAGUUGGUGGGGUAAAGGCCUACCAAGGCGACGAUCUGUAGCUGGUCUGAGAGGACGACCAGCCACACUGGGACUGAGACACGGCCCAGACUCCUACGGGAGGCAGCAGUGGGGAAUUUUGGACAAUGGGGGAAACCCUGAUCCAGCAAUGCCGCGUGUGUGAAGAAGGCCUUCGGGUUGUAAAGCACUUUUGUCCGGAAAGAAAACUUCUGCCCUAAUACGGUGGGAGGAUGACGGUACCGGAAGAAUAAGCACCGGCUAACUACGUGCCAGCAGCCGCGGUAAUACGUAGGGUGCGAGCGUUAAUCGGAAUUACUGGGCGUAAAGCGUGCGCAGGCGGUUCGUUAAGACAGAUGUGAAAUCCCCGGGCUUAACCUGGGAACUGCAUUUGUGACUGGCGAGCUAGAGUAUGGCAGAGGGGGGUAGAAUUCCACGUGUAGCAGUGAAAUGCGUAGAGAUGUGGAGGA